UACGGGGGGGGCAAGCGUUGUUCGGAAUUACUGGGCGUAAAGGGCUCGUAGGCGGCCCACUAAGUCAGACGUGAAAUCCCUCGGCUUAACCGGGGAACUGCGUCUGAUACUGGAGGGCUUGAGUUUGGGAGAGGGAUGCGGAAUUCCAGGUGUAGCGGUGAAAUGCGUAGAUAUCUUGAGGAACACCGGUGGCGAAGGCGGCAUCCUGGACCAACACUGACGCUGAGGAGCGAAAGCCAGGGGAGCAAACGGG
rnacentral:rRNA from 1 species